rnacentral:lncRNA from 1 species
GAAUGUUUUUGAAUGACCCCAUACUGCAACAGCACAGAUACUUACAACUAUUGUUGGUGAUGUCAACUUGCAAGUAUUGGCAUACAGGCAGGUGUGUGAGAAUCAUUAAGAGGACUGAAGCCAGUGUGCAGGGAAUGACAGUGGUGAGCCAAGCACAGAAGUGGAGUCCCAAGCCCAGAGGGCUCAGUGUCUCACUGUGAGCAUGUCAUACGGACCAGGACAUUGUGACUCUUGGCUAUACUCUCAUUUGGUGACUCCUCACGUAUGGAUGUGAUCUGUACCCCAAGCAUGGAUGUGUGUGAUGAUGUGAGAGGAGGUACAGCUGUUAAGAGGUGAAGACUAGUGGGAUGUGAUUAGGUAAUUAGGAGCACUGCCUUAUGAAGGGAUUAAUAUACUUCUCAUGGGGCCCUGGUUA